ensembl:snoRNA
GUCCAAGCUGAUUCCUUCUCCAAGGGGCUAACUAAUGCCCUUCUUAGGAACAUAGCAACUUGGAAGAAAAUCUGGCCUCCCUAAGGUUUUUGGAGAGCAAGGGAUGCAUACUUCCUUUGCCUCACUUUGGCUGCCUACAUGC